rnacentral:ncRNA from 2 species
UUCAACCUCUCGGGGAGCUUUGAUCAUUUAUGGGAACAUAUCUGAUGCAUAGCUGAGAUAGCAAUUGCUUGACCCGUCGAACUUGAACUGGACAAUACCAGCGUAAGGAAGAGACUUGUAUCUAAU